rnacentral:rRNA from 1 species
GAUUAACGCUAGCGGCAGGCAUAAUACAUGCAAGUUGAACGGGAUAAGUUUAGCAAUAAACUUUGAGAGUGGCGCACGGGUGCGUAACACGUAUGCAACCUACCCGAUACAGGGGGAUAGCCUCUCGAAAGAGAGAUUAAUACCCCAUAACAUAGAGUAUAGGCAUCUAUAUUUUAUCAAAGUUCCGACGGUAUAGGAUGGGCAUGCGGUUGAUUAGCUAGUUGGUGAGGUAACGGCUCACCAAGGCGACGAUCAAUAGGGGGUCUGAGAGGAUGUCCCCCCACGCUGGUACUGAGACACGGACCAGACUCCUACGGGGGGCAGCAGUAGGGAAUAUUGGUCAAUGGGGGCAACCCUGAACCAGCCAUGCCGCGUGCAGGAAGACUGCCCUAUGGGUUGUAAACUGCUUUUGUACGGGAAGAAAUGUCACUAUGCGUAGUGAUUGGACGGUACCGUAAGAAUAAGGAUCGGCUAACUUCGUGCCAGCCGCCGCCGUAACAC